AGCCCGAGUAGUUCAAUUGGUUAGAACAUUAAUUUCAUGCAUUAAUAGUGAGAAUUCGAGUUUCUCCUCUGGCUA
rnacentral:tRNA from 1 species